GCGUACUACUGGCACGAUACGGGAUCAGUUUCCGAAACUGAGGGUCACAGGUUCGAUUCCUGUCGGGCGCACCA
rnacentral:tRNA from 1 species